CUUUGUAAGGUAAAAUGACAUGAUAGUUUCCAUAUGUGGGCACUGAAAAUAAAUCUUUUUUAUCCCCUCCUGCUUUUUUUUAGGUGUUCUUUGGACUUUUAUUGAAAAAGCCAGGUAUGAGAAGGUGCCUGUAAUUCUGGUUGGUAAUAAAGUGGACCUGGAAAGUGAGAGAGAAGUAUCAUCGAGUGAAGGCAGAGCCUUAGCUGAAGAAUGGGGCUGCCCCUUUAUGGAGACCUCUGCUAAAAGUAAAACAAUGGUGGAUGAGCUCUUCGCGGAAAUUGUUAGACAAAUGAACUAUGCAGCACAGCCAGACAAAGAUGAUCCAUGCUGUUCUGCAUGUAAUAUACAAUAGCAUUAAAAAUGACCUAACCUGGACUUAAUUUGCAGAAAUUUUGUAAGGUGGUAAAACUGUCUACUUCACUUCCUGGUUUGUGGGUCACUUGAAAUACAUCUGUAGUGAAGUAGCAACAUUAACUCAGAGCUGAGCAUUGGAAGUCAAUCACUGACUCUGAAUAUAAUUGGGUUAAAUGACCACAUCUCACCCGUUUUUCCCUUUGAGCACCUGCAAUUUUAUGGCAUAGCCAGUUGAUCUACAGGGUCGUUCCAGUCGAGCGUACGUGUGUUGUCAUGUCAGACAGCAACAACAGCAACUGUUUCCAAAGAAGUUGGAAAACUUUUGGAAAUGGAAAGCAAAAGCAGUGGAGAGAAUAUCUCUGAAGACCAUUCACAACUAGCAUAAGCGCGAAAGGAGAGCCAAGUCUUUCAGUGUCUAAUUGCUGUGGUUCAGGACAUGCACUAUCACUUGUGGCCAAGUUUGUUCAGUCAAGUAUGUUGAUUUCACCAGAACUUCUGACAGUGUUAGAUGAAGAGGCUACCAGAGACCUAUAUAGUUUGGAUUUUUUUUGAAAAUCGAUGCUAUUAUUUCUACACUUUAUCCCACAUCUUGAAAUAGAAAACAUUGAAUCAGUGUAUGAAAUGAGAGGCAAGAUCUGAAAACAAAUGAUGGGUGAAGAAACAGUCUGGCAUUGGAAUGUUUUAAAUCUUUCAUUUUGCUGCUCAAAAAUGGAGGAUCACUUCAGGUUUUGGUCUGCAAAAAGCCAAACAAACCCUCUGUUUACAAAGCAGGAAGCAUCUUUAUUUAUCACUUUACUGAACCAGGAGGAAGCAACUGUGAUGAAAAAAAAUUGCUGAGCCUUACUAACAAGGAACACUUUAAUAGAUUAACUAGUACCAUCUUGUAAGGAAAAUUAAGCCAUGUUGCAUCCAUAUGUUCCCUUCUGCAGAAACCUCGUGGGACAGUAUGAACAUCCUGCAUUUUUAAGUUUGUUAAAGACAACAGUUUUUCUUGCCUUUAAGGGCUAUGUUCUCUGGUGUGAUCCCUAACAAACCUUUGAAAAUCGAGUUUGCUAUUUGAUAGCUUUAAUGCUGAAAACUUAAAUUGAAUAACCAUGUGAAAUCAUUUGGUUCAGAGGUGAAAUAGUUAUGGUUGUAAUUCCUUAGGUGAGUGUGGAAAUGGUUCUUUAAUUGCCUGACACACCAUUCAAAGGUUGCCCCAAUUAUUGGAGUGUUAAAUGGUGGGAGCAAAUAUUUUAUUUUGAAAGGAUGCUCGAGCUCUGACUUGCUAGUUUCAUAGCAGUGAAGUAUUUAUCAUUUGCAUGACUAAUGGCACAGAAAUACCUAUUCCGAAGUCUUACAAUCAAAGUAUAGAAGAGUUUUCAAUCACAAUGUUUAGAUUUUAAAUGCUGGAGAGAUUGUCUUGAGCUGGAUCUUUUAUAGGUAAAAUUGGCCAUAAAAAUACAGAGUCGCUGAGCCUGUGGUCUAAAUAACACCAUGCGUUUAUUAGUUUUUCAAUCUUGUGCAGUAACAGUGUAGUUCCUUGUGUUUAAAUGAGUGAAAACAGGGGUGCUGGUGUGUGUGUGUGUGUGUGUGUGUGUGUGUGUUGAGUGUGUAUGUGUGUGUGUAUAUGGCCCUUAGAAAUGCUGUAAUUGGAGUUAGGUUCGAGAGUUUUGCCUCCAUCUGCAGAACUUCCUAAAAACGCUCUCAUCUGCUACAAAGGAAACUUGAGAACAAAACGCUUUGCAGAUUUUCAUACAUAAACAUCCUUAACAUUUUGAAUUAUAUUUUAGUGGAUGAUAACUAAAGGAAAUCAUAUUAAUGGAAGAGAACUGGCCAUCUCUGCCCUUAAUCUUUCAAGAUCUUUCCACAACCAAUGUAUCAAAGGGCAUUAGAUGUCACAAAACAUUAAGCCUUACUAGAACACAAAUGUAGCCCGUUUCCCAUCUACCUUGCAGAGCUUUCAUUACUGUACUUUGUUCUCUUAGGGAGAUAGGCACACCGUUUAUUUCUGGCAUCUGAAUGCCCAUUUUGGGUGCUCUGAAACGCCCUCCUAGAGGCACCUACCUCUUUCCAUUGACUAUAUAGCAAACUUAGGCUUUUAACUUUGGUCCUCUGAGUCACACAACUUAUAUGCCUAAACUAGAUGGUAUGAAUGUUCUCCUACCCCCUGCCUGCCCAUUGUGUCAGCUGCCAUGCUUAAGCAAGAUGAGAGAUGUUGAAUUAAUGAUAUUUCAGUGUUUAAAAUAUCUAGAUUGGAAAGUGGUUUAUUGAGCAGUAAAACUUAUCUGUAAAACAGCUUGUCAGUGUGAGAUCCACUGCAUAAGCGCUCAAAAAAAAAAACCCCACCAACAAAAAAAACA